CUUUCGCUGUGCCCAAUUAGCUGCUGCCGCGCCUUGGAGUCCGGAGUAACUUGGCCAGGCUGGCCCCGAGCGGAACUGGAGAAAGCUGAGGUUUCACUCUUGUUGCCCAGGCUGGAGUGCAAUGGCAUGAACUCUGCUCACUGCAACUUCUGCCUCCCAGGUUCAAGUGAUUCUCCUGCUUCAGCCUCCCAAGUAGCUGGGAUUAGAGGCUCUAACCAUGGAAUACUGGGAAUGUCCCUUUCUGUGAAGGAGGUUUGUCAGCCACAACAGGAAUAUUCAUGAACAUGAAGGGGUUGGGCAUGUUCCAGGAUCUGUCUAUCGACUUCUCUCAGGAGGAAUGGGAGGGCCUGGACACUGCUCAGAAGGACUUAUAGAGAGAUGUAAUGAUGGAGAACUAUAGCAGCCUGGUCUCACUAGGUCUCUCUAUCCCAAAGCCUGAUGUGAUUUCCUUACUGGAGCAAGGGAAAGAGUCCUGCAUGGUUUCAAGGGACGUACCAGGAGGAUGGUGCCCAGUUUUCCUUUAAUGCAGCCAUUUCAUGCAUCAAUGGAUAUUCAUUCAGCACUCUUUUUUUUUUUUUGGAUACAGAGUCUCACUCUGUAGCCCGGGCUGGAGUGCAGUGGUGUGAUCUUGUCUCACUGGAAGCCAAUAAGAAACGCUUGGGGAUGACCUCCCUACAAGCACAGGAAAACCAUUCCUGCGCAUUUCUGCGCUGGAACGCCUACCUUUAGUGCCGUUUCCUGCGCUUUCUUGCAGAUUUGUAUCAGGCACUGGAGAACCUCCCACCUGGUCCAUGCCCGGCUCCCGGUGAGCACCGAGACCCAACCUUGUGCACAGCCAGUCUUGUCAUCAACAAACAGGGUAGUAAAUUAUAAAAAAUAAAAUAAAGGAAAUGUAGCUGGGCGUGGUGGCAUGCGCCUGUAAUCCCAGCUACUCCGGAGGCUGAUGCAGGAGAAUCGCUUGAACCCAGGAGGUGAAGGUUGCAGUGAGGCGAGAUCGCGCCACUGCGCUCCAGCGUGGAUGGCAAGAGCGAAACUCCUUCUCGAAAUAAUAAAUAAAAUAAAGGAAAUAGGGCCGGGCAUGGUGGCUCACGCCUGUAAUUCCAGCACUUUUGGUGGCCGAGGCGGGCAGAUCACUUGAGGUCAGAAGUUCGAGACCAGUCUGGCCAACAUGGUGAAACCCCUUCUCUACUAAAAAUAAACAAUUAGCCAGGCAUGGUGGCGGGAGCCUGUAAUCCCAGCUAUUUGUGAGGCGGAGACACAAGAAUCGCUUGAAUCCCGGAGACAGAGGUUGCAGUGAGCCGAGCUCGUGCCACUGCGCUCCAGCCUGGGCGACAGAGCAAGACUCCAUCUUAAAAUAAAAUAGGCCGGCCGAGGGUGCUCAUGCCUGUAAUCACAGCAUUUUGGAGGCUGAGGCGGGUGGAUUGCCUGAGCUCAGGAGUUCAAGACCAUCCUGGCCUACAUGGUGAAACCCCAUCUCUACUAAAAAUGCAAAAAUUAGCCGGGCAUGGUGGCGCAUGCCUGUAAUCCUAGCUACUUUGGAGGCUGAGGCAGGAGAACAGUUUCAACCCAGGAGGCGGAAGUUGCAGUGAGCCGAGACCGCCACAUUGCACUCCAGCUUGGGCAAGAGGAUUGAAACUCCAUCACAAAAAUAAAUAAAUAAAUAAAU
rnacentral:lncRNA from 10 species